rnacentral:rRNA from 1 species
UACGUAGGGUGCAAGCGUUGUCCGGAAUUAUUGGGCGUAAAGAGCUCGUAGGCGGUCUGUCGCGUCGGCUGUGAAAACCCGAGGCUCAACCUCGGCCUGCAGUCGAUACGGGCAAACUAGAGUACUGCAGGGGAGACUGGAAUUCCUGGUGUAGCGGUGAAAUGCGCAGAUAGUCAGGAGGAACACCGGUGGCGAAGGCGGCUACCUGGACCAGCACUGACACUGAGGCACGAAAGCGUGGGGAGCGAACAGG